UGAGUAACGCGUAUGCAAUCUACCUUUUACUAGAGUAUAGCCCAGAGAAAUUUGGAUUAAUCCUUCAUAGCCUAUGAUCGUGGCAUCACGGACAUAGUAAAGGUUACGGUAUAAGAUGAGCAUGCGUCCUAUUAGUUUGUUGGUGUGGUAACGGCGCACCAAGACUACGAUAGGUAGGGGCCCUGAGAGGGGGAUCCCCCACACUGGUACUGAGACACGGACCAGACUCC
rnacentral:rRNA from 1 species